CCUUUUGGGAACGUUGUUUUUGUUUCUUUCUAAAGUGUCACAGCUGUGUCUGCUAGGUUGUUUUUUCGUCUUUCCCUGUCUCUCUUCUCUAUGCUGGGAUUUUGGGAGGCUUUUUCUCAUGGUGCCAGGAAGAGCUUCCUCAUGUGUCUCACUGAUAUAGGGGAGAUAUAAUCCCCAACCUUCUAGUUGUCCAACACACUAAAUUUGUGUUCUCUAAAAUCGAGGAAUGAAUUCUGGGAACAGGAGUUAAGAGUAGGAAUAAUUUAUUGAGAGAAAGAAAGCUUCUAUCUAAAAGGGACAGAAAGGGGCCCCAAAGGUGGGCCCACAAGCCCCUAUUUUUUUUUGUUUUGUUUUUUUGGUACCAGGGAUCAAACUCACGACCAUGUGCUUGCAAGGCAGGUGCUUAUGAAACAGCUAAAUCCCUGGCCCUAACCCUACUUUUUAAAAGCAUGUUUAUUGAGCAAAGCCACCAGAUGAGACUACUUCAAAGCAGAGACAGUACUAUAACCAAUAGUGUUAGAAGUAUAGUGCUUUAAGUAAUAUUGAUCCCAUGGGAAGUCACAAGGUGAUUUAAAAUGGGACAAGACUAUGGUGAACAAUAAGGUUACAACAAGGAUAGUUGCUUUGGUAAUACUUUUUUUUUUUUUUUUUUUUUUGUCUUUUUCUUUUUUAUCAGUACUGGGGAUUGAACUCAAAACUGCCUGCUUGCAAGGCAGUUUGCCACUGAGCUAAAUCCCCAGUCCCCCACUUUGGUAAUAUUAAUUAAAAGGAGUUCAAAUGGGGAAAUAAGCCAUGUAGCAGCAAGUGCAGAUGGGACUGAGAAGGAGUUUCCUGGAGGGUGGGAUGAGGAGGUGUGGUCCUCAUCCCAAGGUGAUUGAUGCCCACUGAGAGUACCUGUCACUGCUCCUCAUCCCCAGUGGAAGUACAUGAGGAUGUAUAUAAAUCUGGCAAUUGUGACUAAGCUUUCGAUGUGCCAUCAGUCACAGUUUCAAUGUGUUUUCGCCUUUCACAUUGACUGUCCUGAGGAUCCAGCCCUGUUGACUGCCUGAUUUAGCUGUCUGUACUAAAUUGGCAAUCCUUCUGUGGGUCUAUUUCUGGAUUAUCUGUUCUGUUCCAUUGAAGUAUUUGUUCUUUCACCAACACCACCCUGUAACUUUGUAGUAAAUCUUGAAGUUCCUGCAACUUUAUUCUCCUUCAAUAUUAUGCUCUUUAGGUCUUUCCCUCUCUCCCAUGUAAACUUUCGAAUAAAUUUUUGAUGUGCAUAAAAUAACUUUCUAGGCUUUUGCUUAGAGUGGUGUUGCAUUUCAAAACCAAUGUGGAAAGAACUGAAAUCUUGACUGAAAUUGAGCCUUCCAAUUCAUGAAGGGAAGAGAAUACAUGUGCCUGUUCAAAUAUUCUGCCCUUUUAAAAACUGGGAUGUUUGGUUUCUUACUUCUUGUGAUUUAGGGAUUCUUUGAAUGUUUUAGAUUAUAGUCCUUUACCAGUGUGUCUCUUGGAAACAUAGUCUAUCUGUGACUUUCUUCUCCUUAUCUUGAUUAAUUUCUAUUUUUAUUUUAUGUUUUCCAGUAUGUUAUUUAAAAGUGUGAUACUUGCUUGCCCUGAAUUUUACUGAAUAUUUUACAUUUAUAAUACAGUGUAUUUUUUGUCCUCACUUGACUUUAGAUAGUAAGACAAAAGCACAUUUAUUUUUACCCACAUCAUCAGUGUCUCCAGUGUCUUACUAUGUAGCCCAGGCUAUCCUCAAACCCAUGGUAAUCCCCUGCCUCAGCCUCUGGAGUGCUGGGAUUAUAGACAUGUGCACCAUGACUCACUUUGUAACACAGGUUGGCCUCAAAUUCACAGUGAUCCUCCUGCCCCAGCCUCCUGAGUACUGUUCAAGUGUUGGCCACCACACCUGGCUGCCGACUGUAAUAUUUGUUUUUGUUUGGUACCAGGGGAUUGAACUCACAACCUUGUGCUUGCCAGGCAGGCACUUAUGCUGCUGAGCUAACUACCCACCCCUGCCCACUGUAAUCUUAAUGAAAGGUUGUGUCACAGUGAAGGCUGAUAUAGUCAAUGAGUCAUAUGACCUGUACUUUAACUAAUCAAGUAUUUUUCUUGGUACUUUGAGUCCUGAACUAGCUUUGCAAAGCUAAUAGGAUGAUCAACUAUUUUCAUGGCAGAUAGCAUUCCCUACACUGCUGAUGAGACUUUUCUGCUAACAUACUCUUUCUUGCUGCAGUUCUUACAGCCAGCUAUUCUCAAACAACUCUCAUACUAGUUCUUUCAAUUUCACUGUGAGUCCCCAGCCAAUCCUGGGUUCUGUAUCCCCUAUUAUCGUCCUCAUAACUUCCUUUUUGCCUAAUCAGGCAGAAUUGGUGUUUAUGGCUACAUCUAAGUAAUAUAACUUCUUAAUCCUUCCUGUAUUUCCAUAUUUUCUAUGAUAACAAUGUAGCACUUUGAUAAAUUAGGACUUUUCUGUUUUAUUUUAUUUCGUUUUUUUGGUACCAGAGAUUGAACUCAUGACCUCGCACUUGCCAGGCAGGUGGAUUUUUCUUUUUUUAAAGAAAAACCAAUCUAGGGGCUGGGGAUUUAGCUCAGCGGCAUAAGCGCCUCCCUUGCAAGCAGGCAGUUGGAGUUCGAUCCCUGGUACCGAUAAAAAGGAAAAAGACACACACACGCACACAAAAAAAAAAAAAAAAAGAAAAAAAGAAAGAAAGAAAGAAAGAAAAACCGCUCUAGGCCAGGCAUGGUGGCACAUACCUGUAAUGCCAGCACUCCAGAGCUGACUCAAGGGGAUCAUCACAAGUUCAAGACCAGCCUGGGCUACUAAGUAAGCUCAAGGUCAACCUGAAUUGCAUAGGGAGAGCCUGUCUCAAAAAGACAAAGAAAGAAAGAAAGAAAGAAAGAAAGAAAGAAAGAAAGAAAGAAAGAAAGAAAGAAAGAAGACCACUUUCAUAUUCUCUGGUCACUCUCUUCUUAACCAUCUUGAACAGUAAUUGAAUUAAAAAUAAAUUCACCUUUUGACUUUCUAGACUAAAAAAAAAAUCUCUUUAUGUAAUGAAUUGUCACUGCUUUUAAAAAUAAAUUUUAGAGACUUCUGGGAGAACAUGGCGGAUAGAUAGUAGCAGCUAUGGAGGCUCUCUGAGAUACCCAGCUUAGAACCCAGGAAUGGGGUGGUGCAAGGAGUCCUAAGCAAGGAGAGUUAUACCCUACUGACCCAGGAACAAACUAAGCUUAGAGAAACCAACUGGAAACGCAAUCCCAGUGCUAUAACAGGAACAGAUAAAAUCCCAGCACGGAAGCUGGAAAUGGCACCAUUGGAAGCUGCGAUUUGAAUUUCUUGCUGCCGCUGCUGCAUCCAAAUCAGCACAGCAGGGAGAGAGACCCUAAACCUCUGAGAGUGGGAAUCGGUGAACCAAGUUGAGAACAGGACUGGCAGGAAGCCCUGCAUUGACCUGCAGUGAUUGAGUGGAUUGGGGACCCUUCCAUAGAGUAGGAGGCUUUAGCAAAGGACAUACUGGGACCAGAAGUCUUGCCGGGAACAGGACGCUACAGUAACUUUAGUCUCAUAUUCCCCUCUCAAGCGGGAUUGGUGGGGAGUGCCUGGCCUGGGUGAUGCUGCUAAGACCCAGUAGGCUAGCCCAAACCAGGUCCCAGCGCCUGGAGGUACACCCUAGGACUGAAGCCUUCGGUAGGUUGACCUGGAGGGGUGGGCCCAGUAUAGGCUGCCCAGGUCUGUGUCUCCCUAGUACACUGCAGUGGGUGGGCACACCUAGCUGGCGCAAUUCAAACAAACUGUAACAGACAAAGAGAAAAAAAACUGGGCCUCCUAUAUUUGCUUGUAUAGAAGGAACAAAAAGUAUGGGAAGAGGAAGCAACAAGAAAGGGUCCUCAGUCCCCAAUCCUGAGAACACUGAUCCAGGAAAGGGAAAUGCAAAGGAGAAGGAAGUCAGAAAACAUGCAAUAUCAGACAUGGCACCAAUAGACAUAAAGCAAUAUCUCCGGAGCCAUAUAGACAAGUUCAAAAGAGAAGUAUUUAACGAAAUAAAGCAAGAUAUAAGUACAAUAGUUAGAGAAAUGCUAAGCACCGCCCAAGAAAAAACAGAUGGUGGAAUGGAAGAACAGAAAAAAAGGGGAGAAUUGUUUGAUGGAGAAAAUAGAGAAAACAUAGAAUAUGUGAAGCAGGUUCAAAGAGAUUAUCAGGAAACUAAAAACUCUAUUGAAAGCUGGCAUAACAGCUUGAAAGAAACUAAGGAUAGAUUAUCUGAACUGGAGGGCAGAUUUGUAAUGUGGGAGCAUGAAAUGAAAAACUUCUUAAAAAUAACAAGAAAACAAGCAGCAAUAAUACAAAGGCUAGAAAAUGUUAAGAGGUUCUAUAACUUAAGAAUUAAGAACAUAAAAGAAGAAGUAGGGACACAAACAAAUGGACUACAAAAGCUAUUCACAGAAAUAAUCCAAGAGAAUUUCCCUAAUUUAGCAAAAGGUAAAGAUACUCAGAUGUAUGAGGCAUACAGGACACCAGCCACCUACAACCCAAACAGAGCUAUACCCAGGCAUAUAAUAAUCAAAAAUUCCAUAAAUCCAAUAUAAGAACAGAAUAUUAAAAGCUGUCAGAGACAAGAAACAGAUCACUUACAAGGGAAUACCCAUCAGAAUUAUAGCAGACUUCUUGGCACAAACCAUCAAAUCACAAAUAGCGUGGGGGGAAAUAAUUCAAGCUUUGAAAGAUAAUAACCUCCAGCCAAGAUCGUUAUAUCCUGCACAACUGUCCCUAGAAAUUGAUUGAAAAACAAGGUGCUUCCAAGAUAAAGAGGAACUAGGGGAAUUUGCAAUCACCAAUUCAACUCCACAGAGAAUACUGCAGGAUAUUCUAAAAAAGUAAAAUACGAAGAAUCCAGAAAUAGUGGCAGAGAGGCCACAAUGAAUGGAGCAGAAAGCAAAAUGAAGAAGACAAACUGACAACAAAUGACAGAAAAAGAUCUCAACAGAAAUGAGGCAGAGAAGAUUGGAUGGUAGGAACAGUUAUUUUGGAGAAAACAACAUUAUAAUAGCUAGUGCUGAUUUAGUAUCAUCUUGUCUUGAAUUCCCAUCAAGCUUUUAUUCUCUGUCUCCAUCAGUCUUAACAGGUUGUAUCUUAUUGGAUUUUAUUAUAUGUGAUAAUAUAAGCAAAAACUUUUAUAGACAAGGAGAUUAUACAGAAACCAUUGUUCAUUUUCUGAUAGUUGAUUCUGAAUACCCUGUAAUACUGUCAUUCUCUUGAAUGGUUUUACAUUGUCUUGAUACGUUUGGUGCUACAGUAUACGAUGUUAUACUCAAAGAUUUCAAGGAAAGAGACACUACGGUAACUACUUUUAGGUCAGGAUAUCUUGUAGUGAUACACUAUUUUGCUUAAAUGGUUAUGUUUUGAACUGCAUUGGUUUGUUGUUUGUUCUCUUUUAUCUCAAUCUCCUUUUUUAAAUUAUUUACUUUUUUAUUUUUAUCUUUUUAAUUAGGGGAAAAAUAAAUAAAUAAUAGCAGGAUACAUUAUAGUAACCCACUUUGAUUUCCUAUUACCUUGAUUUGAAACCCUGUAUUGCCCUUACCAUCUUGUUUUGACUGAUUUUCCCCUAUUCUGCUUUGCUUGAUAGUACCGAGUUCGAAAGUAUAGGCAACAACUGUGAAGACAGUAAGAUUCAUUAUGACUCCCAUUCUGGUUGACUAUUAUCUUCUUUUAAAGUCCUGUAAUGUCUCCAAUGUUUUGGUUUUAUUGUUUACUGUUUUGCUCAAUUUUAUUAUAGCUGAUGAUAUAGGCAAUUCUUUUUAAGAUAGCAAGAGGUGGGCCUGGGGAUUUAGCUCAGCAGCAUAAGCGCUUUCCUUGCAAGCAGGCAGUCGUGAGUUCGAUCCCUGGUACCGAUUUAAAAAAAAAAAAAAAAAAAAAAAGAUAGCAAGAGGCAGUAUGGUAACCAUUGUUGAUCACCUUGUAUUUUGUUUUUACAUUAUGUAUUAUGUCCGUCCUUUUGAAUUGAUUGACUCUGUUUUGUUAUGUCACAUUUGGUUUUACUCUCUUCAACAAAAAGUAAUAAGAACUGUGGGAGUAAUAAAACCAAAAUGUGUAAUUGUCAUUGUACAAAACAAAGGAAAAGAAAGUGCUCUAAAGGAUAUAACAGCAUAUAUAUUUAAGUAUAUAAGAUAGAUGACCAUAUUACUGAGUUUUGUUGGAUCAUUGAACAAAACUGUUUGCAGUCUCACUGUUUGAAAGUCCACUUUAUAUGCUUUAAUUUUGUAACUUGAACAACUAUUUCUAAGAUAACUGUGUAAUCUAUUAACUAGUGAUUUCCUAUUGUUUAUUCUUUCUGAAAUUCUGUAUAACUUGUAUCCUUUUUCUGUUUUUUAUUUUCUUUUUCUCCUUAAAUAAAAUUAAAAAAAAAUAAAUUUUAGAGCAUGGUAAGUAUCAACAUUUAUUAUGGAAAGAUCAAUAGAUCACAUCACUGAUGGAAAAUUAAUGAAUCCUUAGAAGACAUACAGAGUUUUUGUGAAGCUAUAUAUUUUGUAAAAAGCAAGUAUAUUGACUAGUUCUGCAAGAUUGCCUACAAACGUAAUUGCAAAUUACCUUGUCAAUAAACAGCCAAAAAAGA